GUUAAGAUGGCAGAGACCGGUAAU
rnacentral:tRNA from 1 species